GUGGAAGAGGAAGAAGAGAAUGAAGACUAUGUAAAGGUGAUGUGUGUAGUAAAAAAUUUGAAACCAUUUCCUCCUAAUCUGUGGAAGUGCUGUGAUCGCCAUCACAAAAGCUGUUGCUAGAGCUAUCUCUCCUGCGAGAUGAAGAGGGUGCCUCCACCGUGUAAAGUGGCGAAGAAUAUCAUUGCAGAACCGAGCCAGACAUGGUACUUGAUCGAGGCCUCGAAUUGGAUGCCAAGGCACCGGAAUAUGGACAUCCCUCGUAGCACGGGGAGAAGCAGCAGAGCUAGGCAGGCUUCUGAUAACAAGCCACAGCGCGUGGCCAUCCUGAACAGCUUAUAUUGCCAUCUGAAAACCAGGAAAAUUACGACGAACAAACACCUUUUUUCUACACCAGCGCACAUCAAAAUUGAAAAAUAAGAGUUUCAUUUCUGAGUUUGUUUUUUUUUUGGGAAGAAUCUGAGUUUCUUUCUUGUUAGAACUAUUUGUUUCUUGUUAGAACUAAAUUUUAGAACUACUUGGAAUAUGUGUGUUUUAUAUAAAUGCAUCUUUUUGUGUAGUGGGAUAAUAGAUAAUUGAGUAUGGAAGUUGGUCUAAAAGAUUCUUGAUGAUGAGUUCAAAUCUUCGAAAAAGUCAUUCAUGUGAAGAGAAAGAAGAAAGGAGUUAAAGAGCUGUUGUUACAUACGCAAGAAGUGGUCAACUUGUGCUAAAGGGUGCCAACUUUUUGCCCACCUUCAUUCGUUUAGAGCAUGCCUCGAAAUUUGUUGUUUGCUAAAUUGCGCUUUUAAUAAACUUCAUAUGAUCAAUAAUAAUUCUCAUUUCCCUCUAUUA